UGCCGAGGUGUUCCAUUUACCAAAUAUUAGUCUCCAAGGGUCUGAUAAGGAACAAAUUUUACUACGUACACUACAGAUGAAUCAGAAGUCUUUUUUGGAGAAGUUUGUCAUCAAGUAUGAGCAAGCUCCUGAGCUAUUGAAGGCAUCCAUUCAGCAUGUAUCGGAAGACUGCCAAAGUGAUUAGUUAUUUUUGCUGCCUAGCAAGUCGAAGCCUAGCUACUGGAUUCGCUGAAAUUUAUGUAUUGGGUUGAAUUCCUGGCAAUUAGUCAGUAUCGUAUACGAACCAUCUUCAUUUUCGAAUGGAGUGAAUUUUUUAUGGAUGAGGGGAUGGUUAUAUGAGUUUACUCGGUGAUUGCAUGGGUAUCUGAUGCAUUUUCGAGGGAACUGGUACAACAGCUUGAUAGGAUUUAAGAUGAAUGUGUGUCGACAUGUCGUAAAAAGGUUCUACUGCCUGUGUUGUUUGCUAGUUAACCAACUAUGUGCGCUUUCGAUUAGCACUGGUAUCACGGAGAGAUCGUAGAAGUUAUUAAGGGGAAGAUCAAAUUCAAAAUGCAUUUAAAACAUAUCCUAUUCGUAUGAAGCUGUAUGUGAAGAAAAUCAAGUGGGUUAUAGUCCUUGGCUUGUUGCCAAGCGUCCAUCAAUUUUGUUUUGAGCUUGAAGAAGAAGAGUAUUAUACCAUUUGCCGAAAUUAGUCUCCAAGGGGUCUGAUUAAGGAACAAAUUUCCUCACAUACAUUGCAGAUGAAUCAGAAGUCAUUUUUGGAGAAGUUUGUGAUCAAGUAUGAGCAAGAAGCUCCUGAGCUAUUGAAGCGUGUUUCGGAAGACUCCCAAAGUGAUGAGUUGAUCUUUGCUGCCAAGCAAGUCGAAACCUAGCUACUGGGCUCGCUGAAAUUUAUGUGGGUACAGCUCGGAAUAAGUAUAUACAUCAGACAUUCCCUCCCUUUGAUUUGGGAGAACUGACGAUGAGGGAAUCAGGCAGCUCUUUUUGGCUUUUGGCAACAGUCGUGGACCGGGAAAAGUAUGCAGGAGAAGGGAUGUACAUUAAAAUCUACGUUGUGAUACAACUUGCUGCUGAUUCCACAAAUCGAUCUUACGACCUAACACAAUGAACAAGAUUGCCGCCAACAGACAAAUUCUUCAUUUUGUGGCUUUCCAAAUACAACGAUGGCUCGACCUUGAAAGAGUUGCAUGGUGUUUCACAUUUCAAAUAUUUGGUGUAGAGUGCAUCUUUAAAUAGCGUUUAUUUGACAUUUACACUGAUUGGUGUAGUAACAUUAGUUACCUACUGAUCCCAGUACCACUUGCUUUUAGAAAAUUUGUCCUCAUUACAUAACUAUACCUGAAUUAAAUCAGAAAUUGAUUGUCCAUU